rfam:Otolemur garnettii contig187042, whole genome shotgun sequence.
AACUUGGUGCAGUGGCAGUAUCGUAGCCAAUGAGGUUUAUCUGAGGCUUGAUCAUUGCUAAUUAGAAAAUUUUCCCAAUAUCCCACUGUGACAACUUGUAAUAUUGUCAGCACUGGC